rnacentral:rRNA from 1 species
AUUGAACGCUGGCGGCAGGCCUAACACAUGCAAGUCGAACGAGUGGCGGACGGGUGAGUAAUGUCUGGGAAACUGCCUGAUGGAGGGGGAUAACUACUGGAAACGGUAGCUAAUACCGCAUACCAUCGGAUGUGCCCAGAUGGGAUUAGCUAGUUGGUGGGGUAAAGGCUCACCUAGGCGACGAUCCCUAGCUGGUCUGAGAGGAUGACCAGCCACACGGGAACUGAGACACGGUCCAGACUCCUACGGGAGGCAGCAGUGGGGAAUAUUGCACAAGGGGCGCAAGCCUGAUACAGCCAUGCCGCGUGUAUGAAGAAGGCCUUCGGGUUGUAAAGUACUUUCGGCAGAGAGGCGGUACCCGCAGAAGAAGCACCGGCUAACUACGUGCCAGCAGCCGCGGUAAUAC